rnacentral:rRNA from 1 species
UAGUAAUAGUUAUGUUCUUGAAAAUUAAAAAAGUUGGCGGUAUUUUAGUCUAUUUAGAGGAACUUGUCCUAUGAUCGAUAAUCCACGAUUUGAUUUACUUAUUUUUUAAGUUUGCAUAUCGCCGUAGAUUGAAUAUUUUUAAAGAAAGUGUAAUGUUCAAUAAGUUUAUAAAAAAAGAAUUCAGGUCAAGAUGUAGCGGAUAAAUAAGAAGAGAUGGGUUACAAUAAAUUGAUUUAUAAUGAAUAAAUAAAUUUAAUUUUAUUUUGAAGGUGGAUUUAAAGGUAAU